GACGAACGCUGGCGGCGUGCUUAACACAUGCAAGUCGAACGGAAAGGCCCUGCUUUUGUGGGGUGCUCGAGUGGCGAACGGGUGAGUAACACGUGAGUAACCUGCCCUUGACUUUGGGAUAACUUCAGGAAACUGGGGCUAAUACCGGAUAGGAGCUCCUGCUGCAUGGUGGGGGUUGGAAAGUUUCGGCGGUUGGGGAUGGACUCGCGGCUUAUCAGCUUGUUGGUGGGGUAGUGGCUUACCAAGGCUUUGACGGGUAGCCGGCCUGAGAGGGUGACCGGCCACAUUGGGACUGAGAUACGGCCCAGACUCGUACGGGAGGCAGCAGUGGGGAAUAUUGCACAAGGGGCGGAAGCCUGAUGCAGCAACGCCGCGUGCGGGAUGACGGCCUUCGGGUUGUAAACCGCUUUCGCCUGUGACGAAGCGUGAGUGACGGUAAUGGGUAAAGAAGCACCGGCUAACUACGU
rnacentral:rRNA from 1 species